AGUGAACGCUGGCGGUAGGCCUAACACAUGCAAGUCGAACGGCAGCACAGUAAGAGCUUGCUCUUACGGGUGGCGAGUGGCGGACGGGUGAGGAGGACAUCGGAAUCUACUUUUUCGUGGGGGAUAACGUAGGGAAACUUACGCUAAUACCGCAUACGACCUACGGGUGAAAGCAGGGGAUCUUCGGACCUUGCGCGAUUGAAGGAGGCGAUGUCGGAUUAGCUAGUUGGCGGGGUAAAGGCCCACCAAGGCGACGAUCCGUAGCUGGUCUGAGAGGAUGAUCAGCCCCACUGGAACUGAGACACGGUCCAGACUCCUCCGGGAGGCAGCAGUGCGGAAUAUUGGACAAUGGGCGCAAGCCUGAUCCAGCCAUACCGCGUGGGUGAAGAAGGCCUUCAGGUUGUAAAGCCCUUUUGUUGGGAAAGAAAAGCAGCAGGUUAAUACCCCGCUGUUCUGACGGUACCCAAAGAAUAAGCACCGGCUAACUUCGUG
rnacentral:rRNA from 1 species